rnacentral:rRNA from 1 species
ACGAACGCUGGCGGCGUGGAUUAGGCAUGCAAGUCGAACGGUAGUAUCCUUUCGGGGAUAUGAGAGUGGCGAACGGGUGAGUAACACGUAGGUAAUCUACCCUCAAAUCGGGGACAACCCAGGGAAACUUGGGCUAAUACCGGAUGAGUGCGCUUUCGGGUGCAUAAAAGGUGGCGUAAGCUGCUGUUUGGGGAUGAGCCUGCGCUCUAUUAGUUAGUUGGUGAGGUAACUGCUUACCAAGGCGAUGAUAGAUAGGCGGCCUUAACGGGUGGUCGCCCACACUGGGAUUGAGAUACGGCCCAGACUCCUACGGGAGGCGGCAGUCGAGAAUAGUCUACAAUGGACGAAAGUCUGAUAGUGCGACGCCGCGUGAACGAAGAAGCCCUUCGGGGUGUAAAGUUCUUUUAUAUGUCAAGAAAAUGACGGUAGCAUAUGAAUAAGCACCGGCUAACUCCGU